rnacentral:lncRNA from 10 species
GCAAACGGGGCCGGAAAGCGUGGCAGCGCAGGCGCAAGCGCAGAGAGCGGAGGCGGUGGUGGUGGCGGCCGCUGGCCAGUGUAAGAUGGCGGCGGCGUUGGUGGUGGCAGUGGACGGGGCGGCUGGGCCUGGAACAGUCGGAGCAGCCGCUAGCAGAAGGAUGACCCAAGACGGGAAGCGGGCUGCUGAGCCUCGCCGAUUCCCGUGCUUGUAACUGCCCCAGCCGGACACCCCCCCUCCCUUGACCUACCCGGUCUGUGUCUCGUUCCGGCUCGGCCUGCGCCCCCCCUCGCUUCCCAGCCGGUUUCCCCUAAGGAUGGGCCUGACCCGUAUCCCAAGCUCUUAGCGCUCAGGUCUUUUCCUUCCGCCGACCCGAAGUCAUCGCUGGGAGUACUGGUUGCCCUUUCCUCAGUCCUUCAGUGAAUCUACAGACCUAUUUUCUCAGGAGCUCAGCCUGGCCUUACUUCAGUGAUAAAAGGAGGAAAGGCUGGCUACAGCAAACAUCAUUCAAGAUGUCCAGCAAAGGGAGCAGCACAGAUGGCAGAACAGACUUAGCUAAUG